AGUGAACGCUGGCGGCAGGCCUAACACAUGCAAGUCGAACGGCAGCACAGGAGAGCUUGCUCUCUGGGUGGCGAGUGGCGGACGGGUGAGGAAUACAUCGGAAUCUACCUUGUCGUGGGGGAUAACGUAGGGAAACUUACGCUAAUACCGCAUACGACCUACGAGUGAAAGCAGGGGACCUUCGGGCCUUGCGCGAUUAGAUGAGCCGAUGUCCGAUUAGCUAGUUGGCGGGGUAAAGGCCCACCAAGGCGACGAUCGGUAGCUGGUCUGAGAGGAUGAUCAGCCACACUGGAACUGAGACACGGUCCAGACUCCUACGGGAGGCAACAGUGGGGAAUAUUGGACAAUGGGCGCAAGCCUGCUCCAGCCAUGCCGCGUGGGUGAAGAAGGCGUUCGGGUUGUAAAGCCCUUUUGUUGGGAAAGAAAAGCAAUCGGUUAAUACCCGGUUGUUCUGACGGUACCCAAAGAAUAAGCACCGGCUAACUUCGUGCCAGCAGCCGCGGUAACAC
rnacentral:rRNA from 1 species